GAUGAACGCUGGCGGUAUGCCUAACACAUGCAAGUCGUACGAGAGUUUUUAACUCUAGUGGCGGACGGGUGAGUAACACGUGAGAAUUUGCCUUUAGGAGGGGGAUAACAAUUGGAAACGAAUGCUAAUACCCCAUAUGCUUUUGAGUGAAAUGGAUUUUAUCCGCCUAGAGAGAAGCUCGCGGCUGAUUAGCUUGUUGGUAAGGUAAGAGCUUACCAAGGCGACGAUCAGUAUCUGGUUUGAGAGGACGAUCAGACACACUGGAACUGAGACACGGUCCAGACUCCUACGGGAGGCAGCAGUGGGGAAUUUUCCGCAAUGGGCGAAAGCCUGACGGAGCAAUACCGCGUGAGGGAAGAAUGCCUAUGGGUUGUAAACCUCUUUUUUCUAGGGAGGAAUAAAAUGACGUGUACCUGAAGAAUAAGACAUCGGCUAACUCCGUG
rnacentral:rRNA from 1 species